UACGUAGGGGGCAAGCGCUGUCCGGAAUUAGUGGGCGUAAAGCGCGCGCCGGCGGGGCGUUAAGUCGGAUGUGAAAGGCUACGGCUCAACCGUAGAGCUGCAUCCGAAACUGGCGGACUUGAGUGAAGGAGAGGGGAGGGGAAUUCCCGGUGUAGCGGUGGAAUGCGUAGAGAUCGGGAGGAACGCCAGUGGCGAAGGCGCCUCUCUGGCCUGUAACUGACGCUGAGGCGCGAAAGCGUGGGGAGCAAACAGG
rnacentral:rRNA from 1 species